UCAUCAUCUCUAGACUUUGCAGCUCCUCUGUGGCUCGAGCUGACUUAUCGUGACGUCACCCACUGUAUCUGACUGUAUGCAGCCCUUCAUGGAGCGCGUGGCUGCGAGCACAUGGAAAGGAGGUCGAGAUUUGUGCUUGAAAGACACGCACCUAUUCAUCCGAAAUGGAAUAUAAAUAAUAAUGCGCAAAAUAGAGUCAGAGAACGGGAAGACUGUUGAAGACCCUUCUCGCUCUGCUCUACUCAGCUGUCAAUCAACCAGGAUCAGCAGAUUUAUCAUGAAAAUCAAGUCACCUGGAUGGAAGUUAUGAAAAGGGGGACUGGAAUGUCCUGUCAUCCAUUUCCUCCCACUCAGAAACACUGUGCUGGUGUGGUGAUAGCAUCUAGAGGUACAGGAUCUAGGUAAUGAAUGAACUGGGAUGCCCACACACUGACGAUGGGACCCUGGACAACCUGACACCAAGUAUGGAAAAGGAUGACUGACUUUCCCACCAAAGUCCCGUAUCAUCGGAGGUGGCCACAGCCAAUUGAACACACACACACACAUUCUCACAUUCCACACAGGCAGAUGCCUUGCCACACACAGGACUCAAACCUACACUGACAUACUGCAUACACAACUUAUCCACACACCAUAAUUCACAUGCCACAAGAUGGUUUGUGCAUGCUGUGUUGCGGCAUUGCUGCUCUUGGUCUUAUUAAGGUGUUACUGUAACCUGUACUGUAUAGCAGCUGAAGAUAUUCUACCCACACAGUCUAUUUGAUGAGUUUAGGACUCAUCGAGGGAGAUUCUGACGAUUAGUGAUUGAGAAAUCACCUCCCUAUGGCACGGAUUCAUUUGAGCUCUUACUGGAAGGAUCUUUAUGUCAACUGAAAGUGAAGAUAUAAGUACUUUUUCCAAUAACAUUUUGUCUAUGUCUACAUGUUUGUGGUACAAACCAAAGCCGAAUAGGAGUUCUAUCUUUACAGUUCUCACUUUUCCUUCCCAUGACUUCACAAUCUCUGUGAAUGGAAUCAUGUUCUAUUGUUGCCUAACCUGUUUCGAUGGGUUGGCUUAACAUACACGUGCAGUAUAGGGAGCUAAUUACGACAGCAAAAGAGGAGAGGGGAUCAGCUCUCACACUGAAAGGCAUAUUUGUGUUAACACUGUUUCUAUACUCAUACAUUACCAUACAUUAGCUGUUCAUGAUCUGCAGUGGCAUGUGACUGAAUAUCCAUACAUUUGAUAACAACAGUUUCACACUGUGAAGCAUAUUAGUGUUCACACUAUUCACAAAUACAUGUAGAGUAUAUUCCUACAUUAUCUGUAACUUAGCCGUAGUGGAAGCUGACUGAAUUUCAAUACAUGUGAUAAUGUCUUGGUUAUCUUGAUUUCAGCCAUUAAAGCAAGGCCUACAGGGCAGGGUCAUUGUCACUAUUUGAGUUACAUGGGUCAAAUCAGGGUCAUGUCUGUUACUCACCCCGGCAACACAACGUUAAAGGAAAAGGUUGUUAACUUACAGAGAACUCCCCUAUGAGAACUCCCUAUGUUUUCCCUCACAGUGGGGAAAUUGAGUGCAGCAGGUGAGAAAGAACGUAAACAGCCCAAACCACAAGAUAUCCUGCUGUUCAUUUCAAUGUCAUUUUAUUUGAAUCACUUAAUAACUGUGUAACAACAUGUUACUACAAUAAUAGAACUGUGUUAGUAAACAGGUACACAAGGGAACUUUAUGUAAAACAUUGGUAUUCAGACCAGAAGUUUAAUAUGUAUGCAUUAAGUGGUGAUUAUAUGUACAACAAUGUAAAUGUUCAUAAAAAUGGUAGUUAACAAUGACAAAAUGUACUGUAAAAGUAGAUGUUACGCAGUGUAAACCCUCUCUUCACAAAAAAAAGCACCAAUUAGAAGUCACAUAAGAGUUGUGAGGAGUUUUAAUCCAGCUAAGUGAUAGUCCACUCUUUGAUGUUAGGUCAAUACCUCUUUCGGGGAGGAUGAAAGAACAAAACUUUCUUGCCAACAAUCAAUCUCUCAAUGUAUGACCAUGUAGUGUUUUAAAUUCAGCUCUUUAUCAGCAAUAGUGACAUUAUGGAUUAAAUAAAGCUUUAUCGCCCAGGCAGGAAAAGGCUGGGCUGUCUGCCUCUC